AGAGUUUGAUCCUGGCUCAGAAUGAACGCUGGCGGCGUGGAUUAGGCAUGCAAGUCGUGCGAGAAAGGGUCCUUCGGGGCCCGAGUAAAGCGGCGAACUGGUGAGUAACAGGUGGGUAAUGUGCCCUGAAGUGGGGAACAACAGGCGGAAACGCCUGCUAAUACCGCAUGUGAAUCCGAGGACCACGGUCUGACGAUUUAAAGCAGUAAUGCGCUUCAGGAUCAGCCCGCCCCCGAUUAGCUUGUUGGCGAGGUAAUGGCUCACCAAGGCUACGAUCGGUAGCUGGCCUGAGAGGGUGGUCAGCCACACUGGAACUGAGAUACGGUCCAGACUCCUACGGGGGGCAGCAGUCUAGAGGCUUCGGCAAUGGGGGAAACCCUGACCGAGCGACGCCGCGUGCGGGAUUGAAGGCCUUCGGGUCGUAAACCGCUGUCAGGUGGGAAGAAUGCCCGUAUGGCGAAUACGGGAGUGACGGUACCACCAGAGGAAGCCCCGGCUAACUCCGUGCCAGCAGCCGCGGUAAUACGGAGGGGGCAAGCGUUAUUCGGAUUUACUGGGCGUAAAGGGUGCGUAGGCGGCCGCGCAAGUCUGACGUGAAAUCUUCACGCUCAACGGGAAGAGGUCGUUGGAAACUGCGUGGCUCGAGUGUGGUAGAGGCAAGUGGAAUUCCAGGUGUAGCGGUGGAAUGUGUAGAUAUCUGGAAGAACACCCGUGGCGAAGGCGACUUGCUGGGCCAUCACUGACGCUGAGGCACGAAAGCGUGGGGAGCAAACGGGAUUAGAUACCCCGGUAGUCCACGCCGUAAACGGUGCACACUAGGUGUGGGAGGAGAUCGACCCCUCCUGUGCCGCAGUUAACACAUUAAGUGUGCCGCCUGGGGAGUACGGCCGCAAGGUUGAAACUUAAAGGAAUUGACGG
rnacentral:rRNA from 1 species